rnacentral:lncRNA from 1 species
GAGAGCGCCAGUGCGUAGCCACGAUUCUGGGAGAGGAGGUGCUCGGAGGAAAGGGCGGGGGUUGCUGAUGUAAUGGGGAGAAGUGAUUAAUCCUUCAGUUCGCUGUUUCAGCCUCCCCCCACCCCAACCUUCACCCGAUUUUUUUGAGCUGAAAAAAAAGUGAAACGAGGGAGCCAAUCUGGUAACUCGGGUUUUCUGUGGUAGGUGGGUUCAAAAUCUGAGCUGUAGGGAGCGCUAGAGAUUUCGUGCCCUUUAGCCAAGCAGAGGGUAUUUGCAAACCCUGGAGAUUUCCUUCUCAGAGCUUUGGGCUUGGUAACUGAAGUUUGGAAUCGGUUCCUAAUCCUAGAUCAUCUAAACCUGUUUGACCUUUGGCCAAUUGGACUUGUUCUUUGAAGAAGUGUAUACAAUGUUCGGGAAAAUAAUUAUGUGAGAGGAGAGAAUCUCCCAUCUGGUGUCAGCCUUUACCUUUCAAUGCUGGGUCAAGGCAGAGGAUAGAAGAAUGCUUCCAGGGAAGGCAGAAGGAAAAAGAAGACACGUUCUCUGCCAGCAUAAGUGAGAAUCAGGGCCGUGCUUACUCCUCACAGAAACUAGGAACUUCUAAACAAUUAUUAAGGACUUAGUUUUGAUUUUCCUCCUUUGAAUGAGUAAGUAGUUUAAGACUUUUAGUAUUUUUUUUCUUUCUUUCUUUCUUUUUUUUAGAGAUGGGGUUUCUCCAUGUUGGCCAGGCUGGUUUCAAACUCCUGAUCUCAGGUGAUCCGCCCACCUCGGUGCCCGGCUGACUUUUAGUAUUUUUAGAAAGAGUUAAUUGGUUUUUUAAAAAGUUAUCACUGGUUGGGCAUGGUGACUCAUGCUUGUAAU